rnacentral:rRNA from 1 species
CUAUGUCUACGGGAGGCAGCAGUGGGGGAUAUUGCACAAUGGGGGGAACCCUGAUGCAGCGACGCCGCGUGGGCGAUGGAGUACUUCGGUAUGUAAAGCCCUAUCAGCAGGGAAGAAAAUGACGGUACCCGACUAAGAAGCCCCGGCUAAAUACGUGCCAGCAGCCGCGGUAAUACGUAUGGGGCAAGCGUUAUCCGGAUUUACUGGGUGUAAAGGGAGCGUAGGCGGCCUGGCAAGCCUGAUGUGAAAUACCGGGGCCCAACCCCGGGGCUGCAUUGGUAACUGCCAGGCUGGAGUGCCGGAGG